AUCAAACAAAUACAACUUUGUUUCGUUGACUGAUACAACCUAUGGAGAUAAAUAAAACUUCCAACCACAACCACCACCACCACCACCACCACUUCCUUCGCCAAUUUCCACCACCACCGCUGCCACCAGCAACAUAAUUAACAUCCAGCACCAUCUCUAUUACCACCACUAUGUAUGGAAAGGAAGGACAAUUCUUAAAUGUGGAAGAUAUGAUGAGACUAUUCACCAGAGAAGGUUUGUUGUUUGAUUUUUUUUUUUCUAUCUAAUUAAUCAUGUUGUUGAAUGAAAUUUUCUUUAUUUUUCCUUCAUUUUGAUUUCUGGGAUUUUUUUUCUUAUAUUGUUUAUUAAGGUUUUAUUAAUGUUUUAAUUUUUAAAUAUUAUUUUGUUUAUCUUUUCAGAUCUGUUUCUUCCCUUAAUUCAUCAUGGUUUCGUCAAAGUUUUGUUGAUUUUCCUUGAAUUUAGUUUUUUUUUUUAUCAGUUUGUGGGAAUUUUUCUUGUGUUCAUCGAAGUUGUAUUAAAGUUUUGUUUUUUAACAUUAAUUUUGAUUUUAUUUAUCUUUUCAGAUUUGUUUCUUCCUUUAAUCCAUUAAGAUUUUAUUAAAGUUUUGUUGAUUUCCCUUCAAUUGGGGUUUUCAUUGAUUUUUGGGAUUUUUCUUAUGUUGUUGUGAUGGUUUCAUUAAAGUUUUGUUUUUUAACAUUAAAUUUGAUAUGAUUUUUCUUUUUAGAUUUGUUUGUUUCUUUAUAUCUAUCAAGGUUUCAUCAAAGUUUGUUUUUUCCCUUCAAUAUGUGUUUUUAUUGAUUCUGGGAUUUUUUUUCUUAUGUUGUUCAUCAAGCUUUCUGUAAAGCUUUGUUAUUCAACCUUAAUUUUGAUUUUAUUUAUCUUUUCAGAACUGUUUCUUCCUUUUAUAAAAUUAUAUAGUUUCCCUUAAUUUUAAUUUAUAACUAUUCUUCUGGGGUUUGUAUCCUGGUGUUCAUCAUGGUUUAGUCCAUUAGUAUUUUUUUUUACUUGAAAGACUAAUUCUUAUUGUAAACACAUUAAGAAAUUAUUCAUAUUUUGUUUAUUUUUUAAGUUGGAUUAUAUUUUAUGGGAUUUUGUUCUCCCUUUAUUUGUCAGGACUUCAUAAAAGCUUUACUCAAUAAAUUCUCCUUCUACGGUGGGAUUGGCUUUUUUUUCCGUCUAUAUUAUUUAGAGAUUUACAUUAGACUUUUGAUUGUUUUCUUUCCUGUAUAUUAAUUGAAAAUUUUAUUUUUUGGUUUUUGUCCACUCACUUUUGAUUAUCUUCUUCUGGGAUGUUUUUUCCUAUUGGGCGUUAUAUAACAGGGAUUUCUUGUUGUUGAUUGUUUGCCGUAGAGAGAUGUUCUGGUUGAUUGACUUGAUGUGGAAGACGGUCUAAUCUUCAACCCCGAGUGGGGCAUCUUCCUUGACAUAGUUGUGGCGUCUAUGUUCUCCUACUUUGUAGUCUGAGAAUCGUGUUGAAUCUAAUCCAUCAGCUUCUUGAUCCUUUUGAAGAAAAGAGAGGGAAGGCAUCUCAAUAAUUUUGAAUGUAUUUUGAUAGGUUCAAUUUCGUAGUUAUGAGAUAAUAUUGUGUACAAAAAUUUACUGCCUGAAUGAUAAAACAUGAGUGCCCUAUCAUGAUGUCUUCGGAAUUAUCGUAGAAAAGAAAGUUGUCUCCAAAUUUAUUUUGAAGCUUCUUUAGUUAUGUGAACUUAUAACUAUGUUGUGGUACUUUCGAUUCAAAUUAACUUUUGUUUUUGUUGGCAGAUUGACACUUGGAGCUCUAGCCUGCAUAUAAAAACUCAGUACUAGCUGUGAAGUAUCUCGAAUAUUCAGUGUCAAAGAUAUUAUGGAAAGUAUGGUAAGUUGUUUAAUUGCUCAUUUGGCAUCAUGCAAUUUAAUUCUGCGUUGGCAAAUAUUGGAGAUGAUUUAUUCCAAGUUUCUAUAUAUUAGAUUUUUGAAUGCCUUUGCAUCCAUUCCUACUGUGUCCAUCGUUGCAUUUGCAAGUAGUAAUUUCUAUAUGCUAUGUGCUAGACUAUUGUUACUCCUCUAGGCAGGGGUUUAUCAAAUUUGUAGUUAAACUGGGUGGUCCUAUAUUGCUGCAUAUUUAUUGCCGAGUUUAGAGGUACAAUUUGUACUGCCUUCACUAGAUUAAAAAAAAUGGGAAAAUUGGCGAUAACCCCCCACAUUUUGACCGGCUUGGCAAAAAAACCCUAAUUGUGCCAAAUUUGGCAUAAACCCCCCAACCCCCUAUUUCAACAAAAUAUCGGCCUAUUAUACCCCUGAUUCAAAAUAUUUGCCUAAGCCCCCUAAAUAUAAGCUAACAGAAAGAAGUUAAUUUUCAUUAACGAACCCUUUAUUUGUCUAAACCCACCAAAGUUAAAAACAUAAAAAUUAACUACAUGAAUUGUUUCUUCUCGAAUCUUCUAAUAAGUUCUAAGUAUUUUCAACUACUUAAUUGAAACAUCUGAUCUAAAUAAAAUCAAAAUACCUAAAAGAAACUCACCAAAUUGAUUAACAUAUAUGUGAACUGGAAAUCUAGAAACAGGUCUCUUGGCUAUAGCCCAAUAAUGUUCCCCAGCCCACUGACAUUUAGAUUGGGUUGAAGUAAUCUAGUAGUAGCAGUGGAGAAGAAGAUGAUGCAGAUUGGAAAGCUGCAGUUGGUUACGUUUGCUAAUGGGUUUGUCACCAACUCUUCCCAUUCAUCAAAACCAAAUGGUAUUUCAACUAGAAGAAACAAAGAAAAAGAAGAAGAUGGAGAAAAUACUUACAAACCCCUCAAACUCUAUCAAAUCAAGGUUCAGAUCAAACCUUUUGUCUUGUGGAACUCUAUCCAUGUUAUAUCUUUCUAGACAUACACGUGUAAUAAAGUUGUAUCAGUGUUGAAAUUUGACAAAACUCUACCAAUUUCGUCCUUGUCUCCAUCAUCUUCCCCAAAACUUAAAAUAUACAGUAGAUACAAUUCUAAUUUUUUUUUUCUUGAAUGGGUAUAAUGAAGUGAAAUUAUAAAAGUGUUUUCGGUAUCAACUAUAAUUAGAUGAAAGUGGGUUGAAUCUGAAUAUAAUAACGUGAAAUUGGCACAAAAUUGCGGUUUUGGGUUUGGAAUUUUCGAAAAAAUGAGUCGAGAAUUUAACAAAAAGCUACUUCAUCUUAACAAAGACGGCCGAGAUCUCGGCUUUUGGGGAUGCUGAGAUUUGAACCUGGAUUAUACUAACUGAAGUUGUUAACAUAUGUUUGGGGGUUUUUUUUGAACCAGGGGUAUAGGAGGCCAAAAAUUUGUUGAAGCAGGGGGUUGGGGGGUUACGCCAAAUUUGGCACAAUUAGGGGUUUUUUGCCAAAGCCAAUCAAAAUGUGGGGUUAUCGCCAAUUUUCCCUAAAAAAAUAGUAAAUUUGUGGAGGACGAUACUAUAGGUGGGGCAGAUGAUACUAGUAUAGGAAGGCGGGUUUCUGCUUAACCCAACUACUCUUGCGAUCCUGAACUCAGGAUCUGCCAAUGGGGUAGCAUUUCCAGGAAGGCAAACUAUUAACUAUCUUAGUCAGAUUAUUAUCUCAUGACUAUGAAAUUCAAUUUAUUAUUGUAUCACCAUAUGUCAACAAACAAAAUGCCCUUUGUCUUUAAAGUACUGAACCGUAAACCAUAAACUGCUUACUUCAAAAUAUUACAUGUUCAAUAGUAAUAGUCUAAGUAGAAGAAACCAUGAACUAAUCUGUGACUGGGCCCCAACUAAUCCUCUUACAUGAAUAUCUGAACUGCAAUUCAAAUAGAGAAAGGGACUUAAAUGAGAACAUUAGUACACAUUUGCGUUUUUGGAACUUAUACAGGCAUACAACAACCAAACGACAUGAAAACAAGUUAAAUAAUUACAAAGAUGCAAAGUAAAAGAGCUAAGAUAUUAGAUACAAAGUAAAUAACACCAAAUUUUUCUGUUCUUAUGGUUGAGCUGAGAACUCAAUUGAACUCACUAUUUUUUCAUAUCGAAACCACAAAACAAAUGACUAAACCAGACCAGAUGAGAUGUUAAGAAAGUUUCUUUAAUUUGUCGUCUCUGUCUCUUAACAAAACCAGACCGAACCAAGGAGAAUAUGUAUUUUCAUGUUUUUUGUAAAGCCUUAGUAAGAUAUAAAAUCAAAAAGUCAAUAACAAAGGAGAAUCUCAUACUAGAACUCUCUACUUGCAUUUUUUUUUCGCUCUGUCAGAUACUUCUAUCCCAUUUAAUGUGAUCUGAUCUCAUAUAUGGCUAAGAUAUAUUCUUGUAAUUAUGUAUCAAACAUACGUAGUUGAAAUAAUUUUAUGAUGCCCAAAGCUUAAUUCUAUAAAGAACUUCAACUCCAUAAUUAUUUAUGCCUUCAGUCUAGUUACUAUCUUUUAUUUUCGUUAAUUUGUAGUACAGUGUCUUCAUAGGUAUGAAUACAAAAAUAUUAUGUUAGCAAUUUUAUCUACUUAUCAAUAUGAUCUUGCAUUCUAUCUUUGUAGAAAACAUAAAUUUAUGUCUGAAAGUAUGUUAAGAGUUCUUACCUAAAGAAACUAUUAUGGAUGAGCUUCCUUUUCUUGGUCCUGCUUGACCCCCCCAUGAGCUUCCUUCUCGUGCUUGUUGAAAGCUUCGUGUCCAUCCGGGAUGGGCUUGUCACAUUUGUGACACUGCACACCUUUAUCCCUGUGUUGUCGGUCUGUGAUUUUUUCCUUGGUGGUAACAUUCACAGUCUUUGUCUUUGGUUUUGCCUGUGCAGCUUUCCUCAUCAGUGAUCUCUCUCUUUUUCCCAUCUAGAUUGCAAAGUUUAUAAAACAAUCUAUUAGUACUAUUUGACAUUUUAAAGGUACACUUCAACACAAUGAAAGUAACAUUAAAAACAUAUUGGAAUUUUUUAGCUGGAAAUGACAGACUACAAAGAGGGUUUAAAUUUGCAAAAAGUUUAUUUUGGAAAUGUGCCUUGUGAUAAUAAACCCCAAAUCUAACAUUGUUAAUGGUGUUUAAAUUUGGGGUUUUGAUUUCCAUGGUAAGCUAAGAUCUCUUCUUCUGAGACCAUCUGAAACACAAAAUCAAAAUAAACUUUAGGCAGAUCUGAAGAUAAAUAACCCUACCCAUUUGAUAAAUCUUAGUUGAUUUUUGUGUUUGAAUAUUAUUAAUUAGAUCAAAACAAUGAUUUUUUUGUUGGUAUGGUUGAGUUUUGGGGUUUUGAGUUUGGGUUUUUUUCAGAUCAAAACAAUAGUUUUGGUUGUAGUUUGAUCUAUUUUAGCAUGAAGAGUAGUUACUUUUUCAUGUUGUUUUAACACAUAAAAUCAAUUAAUUAGAUCAAAACAAAUAACAAUAAUUAUUGCUAGUAGAGUUUAGAUUUGGGGUUUUAUUUUUUUCAGAUCAAAACAAUAGUUCUUAGCAUGUACAGUAGUUAGUUUUCAUGUUUAACAGAGUAAAUCAAUCAAUCAAUCAAUUGAAUAAUAUUAAUGUUUAAUAUUUAAUACCUUGCUUGCAGGACUGGAGGAAGGAAGGAAGAAAUGUCAGACUGGAGGCAGGAAGGAAUGUCAGACUGGAGGAAAGAAGGAGGAACGAAGCUCUGUUUCUCUGGAAUUCUGAUUUGCUUGUACGUGUGAACGAUAGAUUUUGUAGGACGCUUUUGCCCUUUGUUUUUUUGGUAAAUUCCUGUCCUUUUUGAGAUAUUUAAUGAAUUUGCAACGUGGCAAUUUCCCAUUACCGUGGGGUCCCAUCUCUGUUUUGCUUUGCUUUUUAUACUGAUUAAUCUGGGUAUUUUACAGUUCUUAUUAAUUAAAAAUCUGACACGUGUAUUCCCUGGCAGCAUGUUUUACCUUAGGAUAAAAGUCUCG
rnacentral:lncRNA from 1 species